CAGACUUACUCUCUUGGCUUACCUCAUCCCUCUGAAAAUCUCACCAAAUAGGAGCAUAUAAAAGCAAAAAAAGUAUAAAAUAACACAUUUUUCCCACAUGCUUUUAUUUUCUGAAUUGUUUAUAGCAGAAAUGCUGCUCCUGAUCCCCCCAUCAUGUAGAAAUGUGGUGGCUGGCACAAGUCUGUGUGUACCUGGGCAGGAGCACCCAUGUGCAAGCCUGCACUUGCAGGCACAGCUCUGUGCUGCCAGGGUUGAUAUUUGGGAGCUGAGUCUGUCUUGUUUUUUUUUUUUCUUUUUUUCUCAACAGGCAGCAAACCAAGUAAGGAAUGUGUCAGGACUGCUAGAACGUUGCCCAUGCCUUGUGUUUCUGCGUGAAAUGCAUUGCUAGCCACACCCAUAAAGAACUUGUCUCUCCCGACAAUACACAGCUGGCACGGAUUUGCUUCCUCAAGAUUUCAGAGUGUGCAUCUGAGGACUUAGGCGACGUCGUAAAGUUUCCCUCGGCAACUGCUAAAAUUAUUCACGAGGCACUGCAGCAUGGCAGCAGCUAUCAGCUCUGGAAUGCUUUGGAAUGUGCCCUUCUAUUAUUACAAAUCCUGGCUGCAUUGGACUGGGUCCUAGCUGCUCAUCCAUCGAUCGGGUUAGGUAAGAGCGCCCCUGUUUAAAGCCCCAGCAGCUGCCGAGGAACCAGCAAACAGAGGAACAACACUGAACCUCACGGUGAGUCACUGUGAAUGUAGGUCAGCCCAGGCUCUGCCCUCUGCUGAGCUCUCACUGGGUCGGCUCCAGCUCACCUGAAGGAGCCCCAACCUCAACAGAUCCCCCAAAAUAAAUUUUGCUUGUGUUCCUUUGCCAUGCAGCACUGCCACUUCUAUGGGGGAGUUUAGAGCAGAUGAGCAUUUUCUUAGCAAC